UCCAUUGCACAUGCAAAGCGUACACGCCCCCCAGUGCCCCAAACCAUGCCCCCUGUACCUGAUGUCAGAUGCAAGGGGUGGGGCAAUUAGCAAAGUGUGAUGGCCUCCACUCAGUCAGAAGCCACUGCCGAGCCCAGCAGGGUGCAUCUCUCUUCCUCCCUCUUGGCCGCUCCCUUGACGCCCGCCUGCCAGGGCAGACGGUGUGAGCUUUCUCCCUCUCUCCCUGGCCGGCCUGCCUGUUGUAUGUGGACCUUCUUCCACCAUGGGGAUGGGGGGAAGAAGUGAAACAGCCGCUUCUGCACUGGGAAGGAUGGGAGUGCCCUGCCCAUGCUCCCAAGCCACUGUGGUAGUGACGCCCAUGCUGGAGAAUGGGAAGCAGGACCCAGAAUUGGGGAGAGGAGAGAGGGAGAGCCACGGCUCUUGAAGGCGAAAGGAAAGGGCUGGUGGAAGUGGGUGUCCAGAUGAGGGGGAGAGAGGGAGUCACUGGGGAGAAAGGAUCAAAGAGGAGGGGCCCGGGUUCACAUAGCACCCAGCUGAAAGAGCGGCAGCGCAGGGUGCGCCCCGUCCCCAAGCUAAGGAGAGACUUGUGGGCAGAGGUGCACCUAGGUAUUUCAGAGCCUGGACCUAAAGGCGCCCCCAAUGCAAGUUAAGCAUCAUUUUUCAACAUGUACGUUCUUGAGGGCACACACCACACCUCCCAGGACAGAAUAAAAAGGAUUUGGGGGGCCCCAGGGGAUGUGGAGGCCCUGGACCUUGGCCUGGAGUAAGAGCGCCUCUGCUUGUGGGUCUCAUUUUCCCCCCUUGUCCAAUGGAUGCUACGCCCAUGCCUUUCCCCCACCCCAAAGUGAACUAAGAAUGCCUUGUCACCACUGCCUGGCUUCAUGGCUUAAUCAGAGUGCUUACUUGUGUGCCACUGCCAUUGCUUCAACAUGUCCUGAGAAUGCUGAGCAUCUUCCCACGAUGGGGAAGGUAAUCAUAUUAUCCUUUGCCUCAGGCAGCAAAACGUCUUGGACUGCCCUUGUGUAUGAAGGAGCAGACUAUGCAGAAGCCUUUGUGGGUGUGCUCUCAUUCAUUUCACAUAGCGAAGCAGAAGCAUCUGUCAGGUACCAGGAAAGGGAGAGAAUGGCUCUGCACAGCUGCAGAGAAUUUGGGACAUGUUGAACAAAUAUGAAGAGGAGAGAGAGAGAAUACAUGCAUCAAUACACUUUACCACUUUAUAUUUUCUCUCCCACCACCAUUCCAUGUCAACAGCUUGGUGAGCCUCCAUAUGUAUGCCUUAAAUGCAUGGAUAUACUUGUGAAAUUAAAGAAAAAUGAUUACCAUAAUGAAGAUAUAUUAUUAAGAAUAAAACCCAGAAAUCCAAGUGCUCAAAUUUCAGGGGAAGGAGGAGGCAAAGGGGGAUUUAGCUUCUUCAGAAAGGUCACUUCCCACCCCGCUGAAGAUUUGUUCUAGAUUUGUUCUAUCCAAAGGCCCCUGACCCAUGCCACCCCAUGACAGGAUCUCUGCACCAUUUCUUUCUGUGCUUGUGUGUCUGGCAGAGGAGGACAGUCUAAUAUCCAGUUCUGCAUUGCUUAGUUUACUCUGACUUCCUGUCCUUAAGUAUCAUUAUUAUUAUUUAUUAUUAUUAUUGUUUAAACAGUCAGACAGUUGUUAUUGCCUGGUUUGUUUUAUCCAGACAUCGAGUCCUUCCCAAGGACUUGGAUUGGUUGAAUUUUAUUAUCAAUAUUGUUGCUCUUAUUAUUAUAGAUAUUGUCACAGAAUAUAGGCUGUUCCCAGUAAAGCUGCUUUUUGUAUUUGGCUGGUGGUGAUUUCUGUGGCCCCUAUGGUGUUAAGGUGCUCUUCAAGGUGUUUUUGGAAUUGCACUGAGGGCACCAAUUUAUUAUUAUUAUUAUUAUUAUUAUUAUUAUUAUUAUUAUUAUUAUUAUUAUUAUUAUUUCUUGUUUACACAGUCAGACAGGUGUUAUUGACUGGUUUGUUUUAUCCAGACAUCGAGGCCUUCCCAAGGACCUGGGAUGCCAGAAUUUUAUCAUCAAUACUGUUGGUUAUUAUAGAUAUUGUUGCAAAAUAUAGGCUGUUCCCAGUAAAGCUGCUUUUUGUAAUUGGCUGAGGGUGAUUUCUGUGGCCCCUAUGGUGUUGAGGUGCUCUUCAAGGUCUUUUGGAACUGCACCCAGGGCGCCAAUUACCACUGGGAUUAUUUUGGUCUUUUUCUGCCACAGCCUUUCAAUUUCAAUUUGUAGAUCUUUGUAUUUGGUGAUUUUUUUCUAUUUCUUUUUCUUCUAUUCUGCUAUCCCCUGGUAUUGCUAUGUCGAUUAUUUCGACUUGUUUUUCUUUCUUCUCGACUACAGUUAUAUCUGGUGUAUUGUGUGGCAGAUGUUUGUCUGUUUGUAGUCGGAAGUCCCAUAGUAUUUUUACAUCUUCAUUUUCUUCAACUUUUUCAAUUUGAUGGUCCCACCAAUUUUUGGCUACAGGUAGCUUGUAUUUUUUGCAGAUGUUCCAGUGUAUCAUCCCUGCUACCUUGUCAUGCCUUUGUUUGUAGUCAGUCUGUGCGAUCUUUUUACAACAGCUGAUUAGGUGGUCCACUGUUUCAUCUGCUUCUUUACAAGGCGGCACUUGCUGUUUGUUGUGGAUUUUUUGACUUUUGCUCUUAUUGCAUUUGUUCUUAGUGCCUGUUCUUGCGCAGCCAGUAUUAAACCCUCUGUUUCUUUCUUCAAGCAACCAUUCUUAAGCCAUUGCCAGGUCUUGGUGAUGUCUGAUUUUCCACUUAUAUUGUGCAAAUAUUGACCAUGCAGUGGCUUAUUUUUCCAUUUUUCUGCUUGGUUCUUGACUUGUUCUUUCUUGUAGGCCUGCUUUGUUUCAUUGGUGUUGAAUAGUUUUGCAUUAUUGACCAUUUGAAGUGCAUCUUCUUCACUGUCCUUGAUAUAUUCUUCAAGGCCUCUUUUCUCCUCCUCUACUGUUUGAUGGACUUGCAGCAUUCCUCUUCCAACUGAGCUGCGAGGGAGGUAUAGCCUAUUGACAUCACUGCGGGGGUGCAGAGCAUUAUUGAUGGUCAUGAUUUUCCUGGUCUUACGAUCUAACGUCUCUAGCUGUGCCUGAGUCCAGUCUGGUGGCGCAGUGGUAAAACUGCCGCCCUGUAACCAGAAGGUUACAAGUUCGAUCCUGACCAGGGGCUCAAGGUUGACUCAGCCUUCCAUCCUUCCGUGGUCGGUAAAAUGAGUACCCAGAAUGUUGGGGGCGAUAUGCUAAAUCAUUGUAAACCGCUUAGAGAGCUCCGGCUAUAGAGCGGUAUAUAAAUGUAAGUGCUAUUGCUAUUGCUAUUGCUAUUAUUCUUGCACUGUAUCUGAUAACAGGUAUAGCCCAGGUGUUUAUGGCUUGUAUGGUGUUCCCGCCAUUGGGUUUGGACUUGAGGAUUUUUCUAACUCUCCUGAUGUAUUCACAUCCAAUUUUUCUUUUAACUUCAGUGUGUGCAAUGUUAUCAGCCUGGAGAAUGCCCAAGUAUUUGUAAGGUUCUUUCUCUUCCAGGUUCUUGAUGUUGCUUCCAUUGGGCAGUUCUAUUCCUUCUGUUUUUCUUAUUUUCCCUCUGUUCAUUAUUAAUUCAGCACACUUGUCUAGUCCAGACUCCAUUGCUAUAUCGCUACUGAAUAUACGGACAGUGUUUAGCAGUGAUUCGAUUUCUGACUGGGACUUUCCAUACAACUUCAGAUCGUCCAUGUACAGCAGAUGGUUGAUUUUACUUGAUGUUUUAGAUGUUUGGUAUCCAAGGCCUGUUUUGUUUAGUAUUUGUGAAAGUGGGGUCAUGGCAAUUACAAACAACAGAGGGGACAGUGAGUCCCCUUGGAAAAUGCCUCUUUUAAUGCUAACCUGUCCAAGUGUUUCACCAUUGAUUGUUAACUGUGUACUCCACAUGCUAAUUGUUUUUUUUUAUAAAUAUCUGAAUGUUUUUGCUGACACUAGUUGUUUCUAAACAUUUUAGUAUCCAUGUGUGAGGCAAUGAAUCGAAGGCUUUCUUGUAGUCAAUCCAUGCAACACUUAGAUUUGUUUUUCUUCUCUUGCAGUUUUCUAAAAUCAUUUUGUCAAUCAGCAGCUGGUCUUUUGUGCCUCUGGUGUUUGGGCAAUUUCCUUUCUGUUCAACUGGAAGCUGUUGUUGUUGUUAAUAAUAAUAAUAAUAAUAAUAAUAAUAAUAAUAACAACAACAUUUAUAAACCGCCAAAGGCUCUGGGAGGUGUACAACAACUUUUAAAAGACAUAAAAACACACAAUUCAAAACAAAAUGCUAAAAAAUAUAUAAACAAUUCAAAAACAGUUAAAACCAUUUAAAGUCAAUUAAAAUCUUUUAAAAAACAACAACACUUUACAAGCCUUGGAAAGCCAGGCCAAACAAAUAAGUGUUUAGGGCUCUCUUAAAGGCCAACAGCGAGUUAUCUGUGGUUAUCUGCGGUUAUCUGCCGGAAGUGCAUUCCAUAGACCAGGAGCAACAACAGAAAAGGCCUGGUUCCGAGUCACCACCUGACGUACCGGUGGUAACUGGAGAUGGACUUCUCCAGAUGACCUCAACGAGUGAUGGGGAUCAUACCAAAGAAGGUGCUCUCUAAGGUAGCCCAGACCCAAGCCACCCUCCAAAGUAAGUAGCUGCCCCUUUUUCCUUCCCAUGUGCUUGGUUUGGUCAGAUACCCACUCGUGUCAAUCAGCUCUCCUCUCUGACCAGCUCUCUUCUCUAGAUUUGAUGUGAGAGCAAAAAGCACUGCUGAAGAUUCCCAUUAAUGCAGGCGCGUAACAAUGAUAGGGCAAGGGGAGACAGUUGUCUGGGGGCCCCACUGCCUGGAGGGGCACCCCAGAGGCACCUCAUGUGACUCCCCAUUGCCCCCUGCCCAGCCCCAUAGCCUCUCAGCCACUUGUCCUCUUCACCGUCUCUCCUGCUUGUUCUGCAGGCCCGCAAUGGAAGCAGCAGACAAGCUGCAAAGAGCUCCUUUUCUCCCGCCUCUCAGCUGAUCGGCGGGUGGGCGGGGCUUCCACUGAGGCCUCCGUGUAGGCCGCAGUGAAGCCUGAACUCGAGUAGGGCCCAAGCAAGCCAGGAAGGAGGAGGCAGCCAGAGUGUUCUCUGCAGCAGAAGACCCCUUGCUGCCCUGCUUAACCCAGACCAGCAUUUGCCAGUUUGAAAGAAAGAAAGGAAGGAAGGAAGGAAGGAAGGAAGGAAGAAAGGAAGGAAGGAAGGAAGGAAGGAAGGAAGGAAGAAAGAAAGAAAGAAAGAAAGAAAGAAAGAAAGAAAGAAAGAAAGAAAGAAAAUGAGAACAGAGAACUGAGCUACGUGACCCUUCCUUGGAAUUGCCAUCAAGAGAUGUACUUGGAAACAAAGGAGUGUGUGCACAAGCCAACACUAAAUGGUGGGGGUUGAGAGUCCCAUUUGAGAUAAACUGCAGAACAAACUUGAAACCUGGCUUGCAUAACAGAUGUGAUUGCUCCCUGGUAUACCCUAAUCCAGGAGCUUCUUCUUUUUUUUCCAAAUUCAAUUUUUAUUAAUUUUAACAAUAAUAAUAUUGUCAUUGAUUACAAAUAGACAAAAGUGGACUUCCCGCA